UGGGCUCCAGUGGCUGGGCUUGGCUUUCAAACACCCCCAGAUCCCCCAGACUGAGCAUAUCACUCCCAUGAGGGUUUGUGCUUCUUGGCUUGGCUCGCACCCCCUGGCUCUGAGACACCCUAAAUCUGCCUCAUCUGGGGACAGCAGAUCACAUCCCACCUUCAUUUGCAUUAGGUGUCCAAGGUUUGGUGUUUGGCUGGAGCUUCCCUCCAACCUGCCCCAGCACCAUCCUGCUCCUGCUCCCUGCACCACCAGAUUCCAGUUUGAGCUUUACUGGGCAGCAGGUCCCAGGCUGGUCCCCUUCCCAGCAGGGUUUGGGUGGUGCCUGGAGCCCCCCUGCACUGGGAUGUCCUCUUCUCCCUGCUCUGGCCAUCCCACCCCUGUGCCGCCCACCCCAGAGCAUGAACAAACUGCCGCCAUCCCUGGCUCAGCGCUGGGUGGGAAGACACCGAGCCUUGCCAAAACCUGAUGGUUUUUCACACAGGAGGGGAAAAAACCCAAACAACAAGGCUUUUGCUUCUUUUCUCCUCCUUCCCUAACGCUUCUGAUCUGGGGUUUUUGAUUAAAAGCCCUCUUCUCCUCCCCUGCCUUGAGCUGCCUGUGGGAACCAGCCGCCUGCAAACCUGCCUGUAGUGGAAAACUUGCUUUUCUAUCGAACCCAGUUUUGAUUGGAAAAGUUUUAACAUUAAAUCAGCGUGUCUGGCGACGAGCGCAGAGAGCAGAACGAUGUUUAGGUGGGAAAAUCUGCACACUGCAGCCCCAGGGGAUGGCUUCAAUAAUGCUGGGGGAGAGGAAAUAAAAAUACAUUGAGCAAGGGCCUGAAGAAGGAACAGGACAGAAAACAGUUAAAGAAGAGCAGAGAGGCAGGAGUUAAUACAAAAAUAAGCAAAUCAGGGAAGGGUUACACAAGAAGAGGCAAAGGGCAGGAGGAUGGGGAGGAACAUGCCUCAUGUUUCAGGCUCCCCUCUGGGGCUGCGCGUGCUGGUUUCAGGCAUUGCCUGCAAACCCCCAUCCUAAAACUCUCCGAAUCAGCAGCAACUCAACCAUCCUGGCAUGGAGAGGCAGGAGGUGGUCUAAGGAGAGUCUGCAGAUGUACAUUUGCAGUCCCUGUCCUGGAGGAACUGAACCAGUGCCAGUAAUUAGGGGUAAUUAAAGGCAAUUUGCAGUUCCCUGGCCAGUGCGAACACUUGCAGCAGCAAUUACAGGCUCUUCUUCCCCAGACAUGGAGUAGCUGGGCUGCUGGUGGUUAAUGCUGAUUUUUCCAGUGCAGUUCAAAUUCCUUUGGGUUGUAAUCCCACACCGAGGAAAGACUGCACUAGAGUGGCAAAGGGGGGUGACUGGUGCAGACACCCCUCUGGCACCCUCACUGCCUUCCUGAUAGGCACCUUUUGGUUCACAAAACAUGUUUUCUUGCCUGGAUUUCUCUGGGUACAAAAGUCUCUCCGUCACCCACCAUCGUGCAGAAUAUCAGCACUUCCCUGCACUGAGCAAAGCAGAGACCAUGAGGCACCAGAGCUGAGAAAACCUCACUGCUCAGAAAAUGAGGGUGCCUAGGACAUCGUUAGAGAUAACGAGGGGGAUAACGACUGAUUUAUCCUCUGUACCCUCAUGCCUUGCUUAAAAGCAUCUCACCACAGAAGAAUGUAAUGGUGUAGUGAGUGAGAUGUGGAAGGAGCAAACAGGAAUGAUGUUGGUGCAAGAAAAUGGUGAGUCUUUAGUUUGUUAGUUCACACAGCAUCAGGAGGAAAGGAAAUAACUGGGGUGAUUUAGUUUUUUCAGAAAAUCUUUAAGAAAAAAUCUUUGAUGAGUGACUGUGGCAGAGAUGCCCAGGCAUUAUUAGUGGAAAAUUAAGUUAUUUCCUGCUUAAAAGCCUGGCUGUGGAGAGAAAACAAGGAGUGAGAAUAUAUUCUGAGGUUUUGAUGGGGAACAAUGUAGCAAUGGGUUUACCCAAAAAAGGUGAUUUUUUUGUUUUGCUUUGUUUUCUUAUAUAGUAACCAUGACCUGGAAAGCAGGGAGCUAACAGUGUUUCUAAGUGCCUACAUUCAGCUUGGCUAGUCCAGGUGUGAGGAGACAGUGUAGGUCUUCUGUGAUACCAACCCAAACUGGCCGGAAGGGCAAAGGGAUAGCAGGCAAAAACCACUGUGAGGAAGGAUGCAUAAUCAGAAGGAGGGAACAGGAUGGCUCAUACACACUGAAGGGUCCCAAUUAACUGCAACCACUCCAGGAAAAGAUCUAGGAGUCAAUGAAACAUCUGGCUGAUUGCAACGGAGCUCAGAAGAGCAACAAGAUGGUAGGUUGUAUUAUGAAAGGGGUAGAGAGUAACACUGAAUAUAAUAUCAUGACACUAUAGAAAUCAAUAGUACGUUUUCAGCUGGGAAACUGGAGUGAAAGGCACAGAGGCACCCAUCUGAGGGUGGUGGAAAAGAUUAGAAAUGCCUUGCCAAAAGACGGUGGAGGGAUGCCAAGUAAUGCACAGCGCCGGGAAGGUCAGACAGGUGCUCCUCUUCACUGGUCCUUAAAAUACAGGAACAAAGGGACAUUCAAUGCGUUUAAAAGGCAACCUUUUUCAAUGAUAAAAGGAAAUGCUUCUUUGCGCUGCACGUAAUUAACUCGUAGAACUCAUGCUACGAGACACCAUGGCAAAGGCCCAACAGGAUUAGAUAGGCCUAUGAAUGAGAACAUCUGUAGUUACAUUAGCUGGGAUUAAUAUAUAUACAGAUAUAAGCACUCCAAGCCAGCUACUAACUGCCUGCAGUUAGGAAGAGAUUUCCCCUGGGGGCAUGCUAUUGCAAAACUGUCUGUCAUAGAGUUUUAUAUCUCUGUCUGAAGCUUCUAAGACAAGCCACUAUUAUAUCUAUUAUAUUAGAAUCUGCUGAGGCAGCCCAUCGCCUGCUUGAGCACAGGCAGCGAUGCUUUUCCAGGCUUCAGCUGAGGUAUGGCUGGUUGGGGGUUUAAAAAUACCUGGAAGCAGAUUUUAGGACCGUGUAUGAAAGGAUGCAAAACACCCUGUGAAAGUGGUUGAACUUGCUGGGAUGUCUCUGGCCCACUGACAGUUGACAAAUAGCAUGACAAAAAUGCAAAUAUUUUUCCACCCCUGAAUUUUGGUCGGAGGUAUUCCCAGCUGCUAAUCUUCCCACACACAAGUGUUGAAGGAUAAACAGAGGGAUAAAUCUCUAGGCUUAGCUCUCAUCAAGUGUGACCUUUUAUGAGAAGGUACCUGAAAGGACCUGCAUUUUUGGAGAAUUAGCAUCUUCCUGUUCGGGGGGAAGCUGUUUCCUUGGGAGGUUUUCAGUAUGAUCAAAAAUCUAUUUGACUGAACAACAGAAAAAGGUUUGAAUUCAUGGGCUAUCCGGAUUUCCUCUUGUCACACUGUAUUUGCAAUAACAUACGUCGCAGGGCUUCCAGAUUUAAAAGGCCAAGCGUGACCUCUUUGUGUUAUGCCAUGCACCAAGCAGUAAACCAGCAACGCAUUAAACUGGGAAAAAACACCUGAAUUUUCAAUAGUAAUUGAUGAAGGCUCCUGUAUUGAGGAAGAGCCUUCUUCAGGAAAUCACACUCACUGUUGAGUAUGAAUUUAAGUCCCAUGUAACCAAUGUGCCUUAGGUACACGUUAAUAUAACCGUGCUUACAAAAGCUUUUCCAGAACCAUGGCCAAAACUGCCUCCCUUUGGUUGCUUUCCUUCUUUCCUCCAAAGACUCCAGCUGGAGUAAAAAAUGCAGCUAAGCAAGAUUUCUGCUGGAAAAAAAAAUGCACCAAAAUCAAGCUUCUUGUUUGGAUACUUGGAUUCCAACAACAAAGAGCAAAAUGUCAAAACAACUCAACCUAAAUUUGCCUGUUGCUUCAGUAAUGCAGCCCACAUCAUCCUGAGGCAGUAAACAUAUUUCACCUGGUAUUAUGUUUUAGUGUUUAGAGGUAUGGUUCAGAUAUUAUUACUUAAGCAAGCUUUUUCAUCGUGGUAGAGUUAGGUUUUUUUCCUGCUCCACUGUCUUUAGUAACUCUGGUACUUUAAAUUCUGGUUCCAGUGAACGCAUCUGCCCAGGGAAUGUGUGAGAAACUCCUGGGCUGGGGCUGGUAAGGUGACCCCAGCCUUGAAGCUGUCCCAAAGACCUGACCUGGGCAGGCUUUUCUUAGCAGAUUUGCUCUGGCUCCUGUCUUUGGGGGAAAAAAUUCAAAACAAGUGGUGCUCCAUCCUUUGGAGACCUGACCUGGUUAUUUGUCCGUGGGCGAGGAGAGUUAUGACCUAGUAUCUGCACACCUGAGUAGCGUGGGGAGGUUUAUGCUGGCUCUGGGGAUGGGAUCCUGCAGGGAUGGGUGAGACCAUAUUUAAUGGCAGAGCAUCUCCACCAUGGGUGGCAUGUCCUGCAGAUCCCACAGAUUUAUGUCACGGGGAAAAGAAACUGCGGUAUUUAGUGUGUACCCACCCAGUCUGGCCCCAGCUAGUUUACUAACCAGAAGCAGAGGUUGAAAUGUCUCUGUGUUAACUCUGAAUACUAAUAAUGCCUUUAAAUAUUAACUGUUAACGGCUUUGCAAUGAGAUCGUCAGCUUGUCUGCGAUAUUGUGCACUGGAUUUACUUCUCCAAAGGAUCGUGUUCACGCACAAUGUCCCUCAGCACAUUCUCUUGGAGAUUUAAAGGUUUCUUGCCAGCAGAAAAUGAAUUCCCCCUUUUAUCGGGCAAAGCCAAAUAAUCUCUUGGCGUUUCACAGUGUCCCUCCUCCUGUGCCGCUUCUCAGGGCUCUCCCAUUUCUUCCUCCUGAACUGGCACUCAGGGAAGCCAAGGGCUUUGGCGCCCUGCAGUUUGGGCCAAAUUUCACAGAUUAGACCUUGUCUUUGUCUUCUCCGUAACAAGUAACAGACGGGGCCCACAAUGCCUCCACUGAGCAAGAGUCGCCGCUAAUCCGGAGGGGGCUUUGAACCACAGUAAUAAAUCCACUUUUUGGGCAGGCACACUAUGGGCAAGCAUUAGUGAUACAGACAAUAAGACAAUUAUGGCAGCACUUUCCAAAAUGCUUGAAAAUCCUCUUGUUAAAAAAUUGUUAAAAAUUCCCGUGUCGUCUGGGAGCUCCACCUUUUGGGUGAUCGUAGCGGAGCUGGAGAAGCCAUGAGGAAGUGUGGUGGGGAUGCUGAGACACCCAGGGAUGAAGCACUGGGGCUUCCUUCUCCCCUUUUUGCUGGCAGGACUUGGGUUUUGUCAUGAAGGAUGUCUUCCCUUUUAUUUUUCGGUUGAAAAAUGCCAAGUCUGCUCAAAGACCCCCAGGGGCAGCUCUGGCCAGGCACAGAGCAGCUUCAUGGGGCACAGCCCCUCAGCACUGUGUCCCCAUGGCUCUAAAGCAAAAUAACUCAACCUGCUUUCAUGGGAGACGUUGCCUGAGAAAGAGUGGGUUGGAAAAUACUUUUAUUAGGGGUGGGUGGAUGGAGGGAAGGCAAUCAUUUUCACCCCCUGAUGCAUUUUUAGCCUGGCUCCUGAGGAAAUGAGGUUCCAAUGAGGUUCCUACAGACGUAUUCUUCCACUAAUCAUAUUUCAAUCAAAUCUGGCAGUGGAGCAAAAGUCUCAGAGAUAAUGAGGUUGCCACAAGCCUCACAGAAUGAGGCAGCUGGGUAGAUGGGGGAGAAACUCUAGAAAAAGCUCGGCAGAGGGGGAUCCCUUUGGUGUGCACAGCCCUUACCAGACACUAAAGCAUCCACAGUGGGGAGAGCCCCCUAACACCCCACCUGCAAUGAGAGCUCCUGGGGCACAGAUCCAGGCCACCGAUUUGUGAUGCUCUGAGAAGUGUACGUUCAACUGGAAAAUCUCUCUCUUUCUAUCAAAAAAGAGCCUUUUCAUUUGAGUAUGCCUAAAAUCCCAGAAGGGCACAUGGGUGAGCGGGGCUGAACUUUGUUUUAGCGCUCAGGAUCUAAGACCCUGGUGGACUUUUCACUCUCCAGAACUGAUCUGAAGCAGGAAAAUCUCUCAACAGUUUGAAAAUAUUUACGUGGAAAGCAAAUUAUUCCUUUUCUUUCUCUUGGAGUUAUGCGAAGGUCUGGCUGCACAAAUGAACUUUUGUUCUUAGUCUGAGACUUGUGAUGGAGAACUGGGGUUUAGUCUGGCUUUUUUUAAUAGGGUGCGAAUUCCCCUCUAUUGUGUCGCACUCUGCCGCUUCUGAAAAACCACAGUCCGAACCUGCCCUUCAGGAUUGCUUGUGGGUGUAUUUCUGCUGAAAAACCAAACCCAAAACACAGUUUUGAAGGUGGUCAGCCCCAAAUUCAGCCAGUAAAUCUCUCAAGCACCAUCAUUGCAAGGAUGGGAUUUUUUUCAGAAGUGCAGAGCUCCUGUCAGGGAGUCGGCAAGUUUUCCCAGUAAGCUAGAUUGUCCAAACGUCUGACGUGAAUUUGGGGCUCAGCUGUGAGCUGUAUCUCCCCUCUGCUGGGGGGGAGGCUUCCAGGCUGCCGUGGAGAGCUCAAGGUCCUUUGGAGGGUCUCUGGCUGAGCUUCCUCCAUCACACGUCUUGGCUCCCUAGAGUCAGCAGAGCAUUUUGCCCUGACCUCUGUGAUUCCCACACAGUGCUGGAACUUUCUGCCAUGGCUUUUAUCCUUUCUGCAUGCUUUUCCAGCUCAUCUGUUCGCGGGGCUGUUCCUCUCUCCCACGCUAAAAGUGAUGAAGGUCUCCCAUUGCGGCGGAGAUGCAGCUCAUCUUGUCACAUCCUCCUGGGAGGUGGUGCUCUGGGUCUUGGUUUUACUCAUUUGGGUGGAAGAAGCAACUGGUGGGUGCUUUUGUGGGAAAGAAUCCACGGGAGCAGGACACACUAGGCAUCACCAGGGCGCCAGCUGCAUCUCCCGCAGGAGCGGCUGCUCCUGGCCGGCUGGGGGAUGUCAAGCGGACACAUCAGCGCCGUGCUCUGGGGUCUGUGCUGCAGGUCAGGCCCCUGCCCAGAGAGAUGCUGUCUUGUUUGCAUCCAGGGGUCCUCCCAGAUGUUUGAAGCUAUGUCAGAAGCCCCUUCCUCACCUCCCCUUCCCUAACCUGGAUCUGUUUCAAAUUUGCCUUUAAAUGCAAGUUAGUCUCUACCGAUCUGGCAAAGCCUGAAAGAUGCUCCCAGAAGCAAGGGGAGCUUUGCUGAAAGGGCCCUGGAAUUGCCAGUAUAGCCUUUUAGAGGAGAACGGGGGGCUCAGACUAGGAAGCAGCCCCUGCCCUCAGCACUGCUGUGGGGAUGGAGUGCACAGUUUGCCCAGCCCAGCGGCCCCAGGAGUCUGAGCCUGCAGGAGAGUCAAAUCGUGUAGCAAAACACGCCUGGGUGGGAGCAAGAUGUGAAAUUACUGACUUCCCCGGAGCCUGAAGACAGCUGCAGCUUAAGGAAAUUUUUGGCAUGGAGGUGACUGUGCUCUGAUCUUAUCACCAGGCACAGACAGACCUCUCUCUCUUUCUUCUUGUUUCCCUCUCAUUUAUUUGAUUUUAUUUUUUUGGGCUUUUUUGGUUAAUGAUCUUCUACAGCCGAUUUCUGGAGACUGUAGCAGACCAGAAACCCUCAGCAUGUGCACUUCAUCUGGGAUGUGGGUGGCAGAGCCUCCUUGCCCAUAGCGAUGCCCCUUGGUGCUCUGCCAACUCCCCCGGGUGGGUUUUCCUACCUCUCUGCUCUCUCCGAGCAUCCAGGUUUCAAUCCCAGACUGCCUAAAAUAUAUUCCACUGAAAGCAAAUAUCUUUUUAAAUGUUGCUGAUUGUGGGAGGUGGCCCUGAUCGUAAGCCAGAGAGAGGAGAAAGUCAGCGAUGAGCUUCUGGGAAAGCCAGGCAGCAGAAUUUUUACCUUCGUCCCAGUUAAUUUGCACCAAAAUGAAAAACCAGCCCCAAUACUGGAGCACUUCCAGGGGCAGAUACACAGAGGAGCAGAAAGUACGACUGCUUCAGAUCACCAGUGGCUACAGAGAUCAAACUGGAAUGUGAUUAUCUGGGGUCCCUAAACUUGUCCCCAGUGCAUGGCAUCACUCCCGUGCACUGCAUGGAGGUGGUGGAGCUGCCCUGGGCUGCGGGAAGGGGCUGUGCAAGGCUCCGACAUUUGGUUUGUUCCUUGCUGAUCAGACUUAAUUAGAAAGUCCUCGGAACUGGAAGGCACGCGGGGAAGGGAGAGCAGGAUGAAGGCUGGCACAAGGAGCCCCGUCUAGCUUGAAGCAAUUAGAAAGUGUCUCAGUUGCUGGGUUUGCUGCAGGAAUAUUCCACUGCUGCGAUGCAGCAAACUUCCCACUCUGGCUCACGCAGAAAUGGCUGCUCAUGUGUCAUUAAAACCAUGGAUGUUUAAAAGCUAGCAUGGCCAGGUAGACAUCUUGCAUUGAGCUCAAGGCUUCAUGUAAAAAAAGAAAUUGCUCCUUUUCCAUGUUUUCACACUACAAACUCCAAACAAUUUAAGAGCUUCUGUAAUAGUCAUGUCCUUUCUUUGUUUUGGGACCCUUCCAGCCCAAGUGGGUGACUGGUGCAGCUAUGCCUGGGGUCCUGGAGGUGUCCUGGAGGUGGUGGCACUUAGUGACAGUGGCACUCAUGCCUCCUGUGCUGCCCCAGGACACUUCCACACAGCAACUUGUGUGCGUGGGACAGCCUAAAGCUGCUUUUCUAUAAACUUUCUCCGACUGGUUUGUGUGUGCCUGGGGGUUGUUGAUGACAAGUUUUAGAUGUAGAAACCAUAAAUCAGUGCUUAGCACUUGGAAUAAUAUCGAUCUAAAGAAUUAUGGGGCCUUGGGGAAGGGGGUGACUAAGGCAUAGCCACUAACAAAUGCAGUACAGAAAUAGAGCUAGAAAAUUGUUCUUGCAGCAGUGGAAGAGCAUGCCCUAUGAAGAAAAUAAAGUCUGUGCUUGGCAGAUCAAUGCCUUGAAAGUCUGGACUUUCUCCAGUGAUGUGAUUUCUCAGAGGUGACCAAGUCUGGAUAAAAGAAUCCAAUCCAAGCCCUGCCAGCACUACAAGUUGGCUCAUCUCUCAUCUAAACGGUAGCUCCAGCUGGUCUCCGAAGAGGAAGAAAAUGAAGGGAAGGAAGUUUGAUGAUUAAGGACAACUCCCUGGAGGGAAUUAAUAGAAAGUAUGACCUUGGACUUUGCCUUGUGAAACCACAAAUGAGCUGGACUAGAGAUUGGCAUCAAAAUGAAGUUGCCCUGGGGAGAGGAGCAUCUCUUUUAGGGUGCAAUUCACUUCCUCCUAAGGUGGACACCAAGGGUAGGUCUCCUGCACCAAUGAUGGACACCAAGGGUAGAUUUCCUGCACUGAUGCCCAGCAGCAAUGGGGUCCCUGCAGUGAUAGAAGGGAGCCUGUGGGAACUGGUACUCACUGCAGGUGAGGAAAGGCUGGGGACAGGAGCCCUGCCAGGAGCCACCACUGGUGGUCCUGAUGCCCCAGAGAGCCCUGGUUUAGGGCAUUCAGCCAGACCAUCCCCCUGUCUUCAGGAUGUGUUAGUUGUGAGCUUGCCUACCCCCUACCUUGCUGUGGAUUUGGGGACCGUGGUAGCAGGGGACAUCUGCGAGGCUGGAGGGAUGCUGACCACAACUGAAACCUGCAGAGAUGUGCCAUGGACAGGCUGAUCUUUCUGUCCUACGCUGGGACAUGGCCCAUUGGAUACCAGCAGUGGGACACCAGUAUGCUGGUGGCAGCGAGCCUGUCCUCAGACCCUGCUAUCUAACGUGGGGUUUACCCCAGCUGCCUCCUGCACCCCAACUUCUCCGUGGGGCUGCAGGCAGCAAGGGAGGUUACAUCUCCCCUGGCUUCAGCCUUGUGGAAAUGAGUUCUCUGCUCUAAGCUGGUCAUGCAGCUCCCUCUAUAGUCAGUGGAGAGAGACGGGGGACUCAUCCCACUGUCCCCGUCACUAGUGACUCUGCUCUUCAGGCAGCACAAGGAGCCAAAGGGGUUCAGCUGUGUCAGUUAUAUCCCCCCCACCCCAAAAGCCUGCAGCUGGGUGGGAAAAAACCCUGCAUCUACACCCAUGAAAUCAGGGACUGGAGGCUGAGCCCCUGGGGACAGCACUCACCCUCUCUGCUUGAACCCAAACUGUCUCCAAAAAGCAAAUGGCAAAGACUUGAGCCUUCGCAGUACAAGCCAGUACAGGCAGGUAGGCUGGGAGGGAUCCUUUUUUAUUAUUUUUUUUCCCCAUAAGCCAUUAAAUAAUCCUCCAACGCAGAUGGAGAAGUCUGCCAGGCUCGCAUGGGCAUGGGCUGCAGCAGCGCCGCGGCGGCAGGUGAUCCUUAUUUUUUACCAAAGCAUUGAAUCCUAAUGAAUGUGACCUCUCCGUGUGCCAAAUCCUGCCCCUCCACAAGGGGUUUACCCUGGCAGCCUCAGCACAAGUGCAUUCAUAACACGUAUCAUUUGUCAUCUUUUCAUCAAAAAGUGUGUAAAUCCUUCCCCCGAAGUGCAGAGCUGUUUUACAGCCAGGCUAUAAAAUCCUGCAGAGUCUCUGUUCCAAUAGAAUUACAUUAGUGCCAAUAAUCUGGCAAAUAUCAGGAGUGAAUUUAAUCAAAAGAACUAACACCAGGGCUCUGAUUUACAGCAGCUCACGACAGAGUGGAGCGGUCAGAGGUUUUCAGGACCCAGAUGUGGAAUUUCACUUGCAACAUCAUUUGGAGCAGAGGGAAAGCAGAAGGAAUGGGAAGCAGGGCUUCAGCAUUUUGGGAACUCUUCACGCUCUCACAAAAAUCAGUGAGAAAAGAGGAACAAUUCACCCUUGUUCUGAAUUUUAAAAGAUGAACAUGUGACAUUUCUGAUAUCUGGGGUUUUGCUGUUUCUCAGGGCAGCCCACACACCUCAGGGGUGUGCGCAGGACCAGGGGUUUGAUGGAUGUGCCGGAGCAAAGGGCACCCUACCCUGGCACCCGCUGGGCGAGCCCAUCCAGCCCCGUGGCACAGGACCAGCACCACCACUCGUCCUCCAGUGCGAAGAGUCCCUGUCUGGGGCCACGCAGAGAUCAGUUACGUGGUCUGACCUCAAAAUGCCGGGGGAGCCCAAGCCCUUGCUUGAGUAACUGGUGUCCCUGGGUUCGCCUGACCACCCACCCACAGCAGUCACAGCCCUUCAGCUCCCAGCUCCUGCCUGGCAGGCUCUGGCACGCACCCCGUGUUGCCACUUCAUGCAAUAUCUCUGCUCCAUCUGUCAUCAAUUCCUUUGCAUGUGGUUUGCAGACUUCAUGCCAUGCUCUGCCUGUUGCAUGGCUCUGCAACAGGGCAUCUCUGAUCACUGACAAAUUUUUUGCUUUUAUCGUUUUUCUGAGAAAAUAACUGGAAGCAAAUGCACAGGCAAGGGACAUGGCACGGCUGCGUCACUGCUAACCAUCAGGGUAAAAGUCAUCUUUAAAGUCCAACUUCUUAUGCCUUCACCUGUGCUGCUAAGACAACUUCAGAUUGUUAAAAAAAAAUCUUUUAAUUGAAAAUCAUUAUAGAUUUGACUGUUAGAAAACCAACCAGCCCUCUGCCAGGGCAGGAGGACACUGUCCAGCUCCGCUUUCAGCUCACCUUUUGCUGCCUGAGACUCACACCAUGCCCUGCAACAUGUGCAAAAGUUUGGGGCAUUUUUGUUUUUCUCCACAUUAAAAAAAAAAGUAGACAUUGUGCAAACAUUCCUGCAAUGUGUUGUCUUUACAUAAAUACCAAAACCAACCAUUUAACACAA